ACGGAAGGCAGCAGUGGGGAAUAUUGCACAAUGGGCGCAAGCCUGAUGCAGCAACGCCGCGUGAGCGAUGAAGGUCUUCGGAUCGUAAAGCUCUGUCCUUGAGGACGAAUAAUGACGGUACUCUUGGAGGAAGCCCCGGCUAACUACGUGCCAGCAGCCGCGGUAAUACGUAGGGGGCGAGCGUUAUCCGGAAUUAUUGGGCGUAAAGAGUACGUAGGUGGUUUCGUAAGCGUAGGGUGAAAGCCCGGGGCUUAACUCCGGUUAGCCUUACGAACUGCGAGACUUGAGUGCAGGAGGGGAAAGUGGAAUUCCUGGUGUAGCGGUGAAAUGCGUAGAUAUCAGGAGGAACACCGGUGGCGAAGGCGACUUUCUGGACAGAAACUGACGUUGAGGCACGAAAGUGUGGGGAGCAAACAGGAUUAGAUACCCUGGUA
rnacentral:rRNA from 1 species